GUUGUAGCCAUUUUGGCCAUGCUACAACGAUGCAGACAGCUCUCUUUGUCACUCCUACAACGUGCUUGUUCAAACAACACAUUUUCUUUCAGGUUUUGUGCUUUAGGCAGAGUGACAUGAUGCAGGAUGGAGUUGCGAAGAGUUCCAGGACAUGGUCAAAGAUGGCUGGAACAGUCGGAUGGAUUUGCAAUCAUGCAAUAAAGGCCCACAUGAGACGCCAUGGUCAAAUGGUUGGAGAUCGUUGAGAGUUUGCAGCUAUUGAUGAAAGUUGUUGUAAUAAUAGCAAGUAUCACCACAGAAGGGCCGGUGCAACAUGGCGACGGAAAAAGUGGGUAUUAAGAAUAUUAGGAGUAGGUGACCGCCAGAAACAUCCUGUCUUGUGGCUGGUGUGGUUAAACAAGUGCGUCCGGGAACCACCGUCAUCAGUGACCAAUGGGGCACUUACAGGAGUGCAUUGACUGCGACAGGCUACAGGCACUUCACAGUGAACCACUGUCAGUAGUUUGCGGAUCCAAACACCUUGCGCGCCUCCCAGUAUGUCAACCCCAGCUUUCUCUGUGGACCAUGCAACUUGGACUUUCCGAGUUUCAUAUAGGACAAUGCAUCUUGCUCUGCAUCUGUAAACCAUGGAUUCAUCUUUUGGACAUUUUCAGGAGAAUGGCUGUGUGUGUGUGUGUGUGUGUGUGUGUGUGUGUGUGUGUGUGUGUGUGCGUGCGUGCGUGCGU